CAGAAAGUCGAUGACGAUACCAAAAAAAAUCAGGACUAUAAAAGUUUCCUAGCAACAUAGAAAGUGGCUCCUUGCAUCCCAGCUCACCAAAGAGGUCAUAACUGAAAGUACCACAUGUUCUGAAUUCAGCAAAAUCACUUUACCUUAUUCACUGCUACCCACACAAACAAAGAGAUAACAGAACUAAGGCAACUGUGCUAACUACAGACACAAAUACAAGCUGCUAUUUAUAGCUACGGAUGGCACUGCAGAGGUAGAAAGGAUAUGCUUUGGUCAAAUUGCUCAGCGCAUUAUUGGCAAAUCUGUUGAUCUUGUCAUAAGAACCAUAAGGCGCGAUGAAGAUUUCCCUCCAGACAUAGCAGGAAUAGCAUCGCAGAAAUACACUUUUGCGAUAACUAUGACAAACCAAAGCUAUUACACCCGCAACAAGUCAUACAUGGUCAAUUCCAUCAUCGCCUCAUAUGGCAGACAACGAGCAAUUCCUCAAGUUGGAGCCAGCUCAUCCAAUCGUCAGUCAGCCUAUCGUAGAGGUUCUGCUGCAUCCACAUCCACAGAGAAUGCACUGAGUUAUACGCAGACAGACGCAACGUUAUCACUUCAGACACCUCCAUCCAGUCCAGCCAUCUUUCGGACCACAGACAAGGAUGCGCCUUCCCCGCACCUGACAGACACACCAGAAAACAAUUCAGCUAGAAAAAGACUUUAUCUUACGAUACUGCUGAAGAUGGACAGGAAUCUGAUCAGGAACAAAAAAAAGGAAGCUUGAUAAACAGGAGAUUACUGGUGGAUCAGCAAAGCAUCUGAUCCAGCUUCUGAAAGAUCUUCAUCUGAGAAUGGAAAGAAAACUCAACAGAAAGGUGCAGAAUGCAAGGCUUCUCGCUUUCACAGGAACAAAAAAAAAAAGGUCAGC